UGCAGAAUCCCGUGAACCAUCGAGUCUUUGAACACAAGUUGCACCCGAAGCCAUCAGGCCGAGGGCACGCCUGCCUGGGCGUC
rnacentral:rRNA from 1 species